AUUGAACGCUGGCGGCAGGCCUAACACAUGCAAGUCGAACGGUAACAGGAAGAAGCUUGCUUCUUUGCUGACGAGUGGCGGACGGGUGAGUAAUGUCUGGGAAACUGCCUGAUGGCGGGGGAUAACUACUGGAAACGGUAGCUAAUACCGCAUAACGUCGCAAGACCAAAAAGGGGGACCUUCGGGCCUCUUGCCAUCGGAUGUGCCCAGAUGGGAUUAGCUCGUAGGUGGGGUAACGGCUCACCUAGGCGACGAUCCCUAGCUGGUCUGAGAGGAUGACCAGCCACACUGGAACUGAGACACGGUCCAGACUCCUACGGGAGGCAGCAGUGGGAAUAUUGCACAAUGGGCGCAAGCCUGAUGCAGCCAUGCCGCGUGUAUGAAGAAGGCCUUCGGGUUGUAAAGUACUUUCAGCGGGGAGGAAGGGAGUAAAGUUAAUACCUUUGCUCAUUGACGUUACCCGCAGAAGAAGCACCGGCUAACUCCGUG
rnacentral:rRNA from 1 species